rnacentral:rRNA from 1 species
ACUCCUACGGGAGGCAGCAGUAGGGAAUCUUCCGCAAUGGACGAAAGUCUGACGGAGCAACGCCGCGUGAGUGAUGAAGGCUUUCGGGUCGUAAAACUCUGUUGUUAGGGAAGAACAAGUGCUAGUUGAAUAAGCUGGCACCUUGACGGUACCUAACCAGAAAGCCACGGCUAACUACGUGCCAGCAGCCGCGGUAAUACGUAGGUGGCAAGCGUUAUCCGGAAUUAUUGGGCGUAAAGCGCGCGCAGGUGGUUUCUUAAGUCUGAUGUGAAAGCCCACGGCUCAACCGUGGAGGGUCAUUGGAAACUGGGAGACUUGAGUGCAGAAGAGGAAAGUGGAAUUCCAUGUGUAGCGGUGAAAUGCGUAGAGAUAUGGAGGAACACCAGUGGCGAAGGCGACUUUCUGGUCUGUAACUGACACUGAGGCGCGAAAGCGUGGGGAGCAAACAGGAUUAGAUACCCUGGUAGUCCACGCCGUAAACGAUGAGUGCUAAGUGUUAGAGGGUUUCCGCCCUUUAGUGCUGAAGUUAACGCAUUAAGCACUCCGCCUGGGGAGUACGGCCGCAAGGCUGAAACUCAAAGGAAUUGACGG